ACAAAGUUCAGCUGGAGUUUUCCUUCUCCCUGCAGCUUUCCCAGUGCCUCCAGCAGCCCUCCUCAAGGACCCCUGUGAGGCCAGGCAGAAAUGGCUUGGCAGAGGACCCAGCGAGCCCAGAGGGAUUUUGCCGCUGCUUCCUCUACCCCUGUAUUUCACUCAGCUCUCUAAAUUGACUCAGCUCCAGAACCAUAAUUAUCAUGUUAUCUAGACCUGAUACAUUGUAGAUGAAGAAACAUGUCGACAGAGCCACUAUCUGCCCAACAUCUGAUAGGUAGUCAUAGUCACAGUGGAACUGAGACUAAGGUUUCCAUUUUUAUUUGACUAUGCUUCUUCCCAAGGCUAGUGUGAGAAACACCAACGGCAGGCCCAUCUCAGAUCUUCACUAUGGCAACUUAUGCAAGAAACUGUUGAAUUAGACCCGUUUCCUAUAGAUGAGAAACCAUACAAGCUGUGGUAUUUAUGAGCCUCCAUUUCUUAUACUACUGCAGUGAACCAACAUUGGAUGUGAAAAUUGCCUUUUGUCAGGUGUGUGUUCCUUACAGGUAAAACAAGGGAUUCGAU
rnacentral:sRNA from 1 species